ACAGUGGACGCGAGCAUCUGUGGCCAAGUUUUUAAGGGCGCACGGUGGAUGCCUUGGCACCAGGAACCGAUGAAGGACGUGGGAGGCCACGAUAGGCCCCGGGGAGUCGUCAACCAGGCUUUGAUCCGGGGGUGUCCGAAUGGGGAAACCCGGCAGUCGUCAUGGGCUGUCACCCGCUGCUGAACACAUAGGCAGUGUGGAGGGAACGCGGGGAAGUGAAACAUCUCAGUACCCGCAGG
rnacentral:rRNA from 1 species